rnacentral:rRNA from 1 species
UUUAACAUGAGAGUUUGAUCCUGGCUCAGGAUGAACGCUGGCGGCGUGCCUAACACAUGCAAGUCGAACGAGGUAAAUAAGAUGAAGUUUUCGGAUGGAUUCUUAUUUACCGAGUGGCGGACGGGUGAGUAACGCGUGGGUAACCUGCCUCAUA